UACGGAGGGUGCAAGCGUUGUCCGGAUUUAUUGGGUUUAAAGGGUGCGUAGGUGGCCCUGUAAGUCAGUGGUGAAAUUCUUGAGCUUAACUGAAGGAUUGCCAUUGAUACUGUAGGGCUUGAGUACAGAUGAGGUAGGCGGAAUUGAUGGUGUAGCGGUGAAAUGCUUAGAUAUGACACAGAACACCGAUUGCGAAGGCAGCUCACUAAAUUGUAACUGACGCUGAGGCACGAAAGCGUGGGGAUCAAACAGG
rnacentral:rRNA from 1 species